rnacentral:tRNA from 1 species
CGCGGGGUGGAGCAGUUGGUAGCUCGCGAGGCUCAUAACCUCGAGGUCGCAGGUUCGAAUCCUGUCCCCGCCA